rnacentral:rRNA from 1 species
UGGGGAAUAUUGGACAAUGGGCGAAAGCCUGAUCCAGCCAUGCCGCGUGUGUGAAGAAGGUCUUCGGAUUGUAAAGCACUUUAAGUUGGGAGGAAGGGCAGUAAGCGAAUACCUUGCUGUUUUGACGUUACCGACAGAAUAAGCACCGGCUAACUCUGUGCCAGCAGCCGCGGUAAUACAGAGGGUGCAAGCGUUAAUCGGAAUUACUGGGCGUAAAGCGCGCGUAGGUGGUUCGUUAAGUUGAAUGUGAAAGCCCCGGGCUCAACCUGGGAACGGCAUCCAAAACUGGCGAGCUAGAGUAGGGCAGAGGGUGGUGGAAUUUCCUGUGUAGCGGUGAAAUGCGUAGAUAUAGGAAGGAACACCAGUGGCGAAGGCGACCACCUGGGCGCAUACUGACACUGAGGUGCGAAAGCGUGGGGAGCAAACAGG